GGAGGGUAAGUCUGGUGCCAGCAGCCGCGGUAAUUCCAGCUCCAAUAGCGUAUAUUAAAGUUGUUGCAGUUAAAAAGCUCGUAGUUGAAUUUCGGGGUUAGUAGGUUGGUCAUGCCUCUGGUAUGUACUGAUCUCACUGAUUCCUCCUUCCUUAUGAACCGUAAUGCCAUUAAUUUGGUGUUGCGGGGAAUUUGGACUGUUACUUUGAAAAAAUUAGAGUGUUUAAAGCAGGC
rnacentral:rRNA from 1 species